ensembl:lncRNA
GGGGGGGGCCCUGUCUGGGUACCUCUCCCUCAACUGGAGGGUGCGAUGGAAACUGGGAGCCCCCUGCUCUCUGGGGCUCUUGGGAAAGACAGAUUUUCUUUGGCAAAGGGAAGGGUGUUGCGCUGUCGACACGGCAGACUAUUUUUCUUGUUCCCUCACAAGGAGGUGGGGGAAGAAAAGAAAGCAAGAAAGAAAGGGAAAUUAAAUCCACACGUGUUAAGCUCGCUCAAAGGGCCGGAUUCAAAACCAGAGAAGAAACUGCAGCUCCAGUCCUGGCUGCCCGCGGGCCUCUUUCCAGCCAGCCCGGGCCUCACAGAGCCAGGCAUCCCCACUGGAGAGAAUUCGAUCUGAUGUUUCAUAAGGCGCUUUAUUUAAGGGGGAAGGGGCAAUGGUUCCUCUCUGUCUAUACCACCGAGUCUGAACUCUUAGCGGCAAAGAAAACAAAGGAGAUAGCAAUUGUGAGAAUAGUUACCCACUUUGAGAAAGCUCAGCUCAUACCUCCCAGCCACCCAAUGAUUCAGGUAACAUUCACCCUGUGGCCAAAAUGAGCCAGGCCAGUGAUUUUGGGAAUUCCUGGGGUCUGACCAGUCUUCCAGACUUGGGCCUACCCAGGUCAAGAGAAUCUGAAAAGCUAGUCUACUGACCCUGGAAUAGUCCACUUAAUCUGCCCGGCUAAACCCCACAUCCCUUGUUCCUCUUUCUGGGAGAAACCUGCCUGGGAGGAGGCCACAGGCCCCAGCUUCGGGAGGAACUCUGCGCAUGCAAGGAAGGGGGGCGGCCACCCCUCCUGGAGCUGCGAGUGAAAACUCUACCCGGGCCGUGAGCACCACAGCGGGUCUCCUCUGGCCUCCUGCUGCUGGGUUUCUGGCCUUUGGGGACGCGGCCUCGAUAGAAGGGUCCGGAAGCGGGGACCACAGAUGCCUUGCCCCCCAUCACAAUCCCUCCCGGAAAACACUGGGCUGAAACUGACAGAGGCUCGCCCUGGGGUGCAACGGACCGAGGUCCCCGGUGGAGAAGUUCCUGGCGAUUGUUUCCGCAAGGGCCCUUCGGUUUCCUGGUCUCCAUGGCAACCCCGGAGUCCCGUCGAACGCUCUCAACAAUGGGGCGCCCCGAGGACAAUCGCGCACUUGCUCUGCGAGCUCUGUGUCCUGCAGGGCGCUUCCGCCCGUCGCUCUUGGCUUUCCGGAGCCACUUAGGUAGAUUCAACACGAAAGGGAUUGAAAAACUACCCCCCCCCUUUUUUUUUAAACGGAGGAGAAAAAUCGAGAUUUAGUAGAAUCUCUGCUGGCUAGGGUCGUGUCCUGAGCAAAAGCCCCAACUUGGAGUUCAGAGCGAUGACCUCGGAGACGCGAGCGCGGGCGGCGGGCAGGAUGGUUUCAUCGAAGCCCGCACCUCGAGCAUCUCCACCGGGAACCUGGGACUCUAGGAGUCUCGGAAUCUCUCCACAUCUGCUGCCCGUCUCAUCCGCACCCGACGCUCCCCGCAUCCAACCAAGCGACCCCUUCGCUUGCCUGGAAUAACUUCUCCUAAAUGGAAGGAGAGAAGUCGGGAACUAGAAAUAGUGGCAUUAAGGUCUGCAAGGUCUUUAUGAGGGAAAGAAUACAUUAUACGUUUCCUUUUAGAGAAAACAUUUUCCAUUGUGGAUGUAAUAUAAAUAACAUUAAAAUAAUAUUUGGG